GAACUUGGUCGUACCAUCUUGUCAAUGCCUGAUCUCGUCUGAUUUCAGAAACUAAGCGUGUUGGGCCUGGUUAGUACUUUCAUGGGAGACUGCUUGGAAUACAAAGUACUACA
rnacentral:rRNA from 1 species